UUCCGGUUGAUCCUGCCGGACCCCACUGCUGUCGGGAUAGGAUUAAGACAUGCUAGUUGAGCGCUUCAGGCUAUGUCGAAGCGCGGCAUACAGCUCAGUAACACGUGGCCAACCUACCCUUGGGACGGGGACAACCCCGGGAAACUGGGGUUAAUCCCUCGAUAGGUGAGAAUUUCUGGAAGGAGUUCUCGCUGAAAAGGAGCUUAAAACAUGCCUUUUAAGCUUCGCCCAAGGAUGGGGCCGCGGCCGAUCAGGUAGUUGGUGAGGUAAUGGCUCACCAAGCCUAUAACCGGUACGGGCCGUGAGAGCGGGAGCCCGGAGAUGGGCACUGAGACAAGGGUCCAGGCCCUACGGGGCGCAGCAGUCGCGAAAACUCCGCAAUACACGAAAGUGUGACGGGGCUAACCCGAGUGCCGUCCAUAAGGAUGGCUUUUCCCUAGUGUAAUAAGCUGGGGGAAUAAGGAGAGGGCAAGACUGGUGUCAGCCGCCGCGGUAAUACCAGCUCUUCGAGUGGUGGGGACGCUUAUUGGGCCUAAAGUAUUCGUAGCCGGCUGGGCAAGUCCUCUGUUAAAUCCAACGAUUUAAUCGUUGGGCUGCAGGGGAUACUGUCUGGCUAGGAGGCGGGAGAGGCCGACGGUAUUUCCGGGGUAGGGGUGAAAUCCUAUAAUCCCGGGAGGACCAUCAGUGGCGAAGGCUGUCGGCUAGAACGCGCUCGACGGUGAGGGAUGAAAGCUGGGGGAGCGAACCGGAUUAGAUACCCGGGUAGUCCCAGCUGUAAACUUUGCAGGCUGGGUGUUGGUGCGGCUACGUGCCGCUCCGGUGCCGUAGGGAAGCCGUUAAGCCUGCCGCCUGGGGAGUACGGUCGCAAGUCUGAAACUUAAAGGAAUUGGCGGGGGAGCACCACAAGAGGUGAAGCUUGCGGUUUAAUUGGACUCAACGCCGGG
rnacentral:rRNA from 1 species